AUGGCGACGCACACUGACAACGUUUGGCUAAACAUAAACAACACGUGGAGAUUUUAAUUCGUUGCAUUAUAAGUUGGCUUGGAAGUUUGUUUUUUAAUUUAUUAGUGACAAAAUACGCCGGUUUUGACAAUGUCAAAGCGUAGUGAUAAAAUAAUGACACUUGUGAAGGCACAAUCUAAACCAAAAACCAAUACAUCGGUUAUCUAUGUGUAAUAAAGAAAAUGUUGUUUCAAAUAAUUUUUUAUAUACAUUGGUUUCUUGUGAUAAUAAAUAUGGGGACAAGAUAUUAGGACCACAGGAACAAGAUAUUUUGCAGGACUUUCAGGAGACAGGAGAAAAUCCCACUCGAUGAUUACAAUAUUAUUAGUAAUGAAAAUGAUGUUCCUGUUGGUUUGACUGCAUUUCCAGACCCCUCUGAUUAAGAUGUGCUUCAAGAACUAGCAGAAAUUCCACUAGAUGAUGAUGUUAUGCAGUGCAUUGUAAACACACAUUCAAAUAUAACUGUACUGGCUACGGGAAGUGAUUUUCCUGAUACCAUCAUAAUAGAACAACGGAUAGAUGCUGAAAAUAUUACCACUGAACAAAUACACCAUUUUAACCAAAAUACAGAUGCAGGUCCAUUGUAUUUUGAUACAAUCAAUGUAUUUUGAUACAUCAAUCUACAUACAUAACUAUUCAUACAUAACUAUGAACAAAAAAAUAAUGCAAUGCAAGUAAAGAAUGUUUUAACAGAGAGAGAAGUAGGCCACUAUCACAUUGAAGGCGAUUCGGUAAAUCUCUUCACGCAUGGAAGCAACCUAGAACAUCAACUUGAAGUUCAGUUGAGUGCUGAUCAGGGUGGAAUCAUAGGUUCAGCAGACAACCUUGGAGAAGGGAAUGCAAACGAGUUAAGUGAUGAUCACCCUAAAAUCCCAGUUUUGACAGAGAACGUCGUAGAAGAAGAACAUGCAUUGGAACCGGAUAACUUAUAUACUAAAGAGGGAAACUUGAGAAAGAGAAAAAAAUAUGACCUGACGUUGGAAACACGUAAACGUAUAAAAUUAAACCAGAUAAGAGAAGACCAUAGACCGUUGCCGCCGUGCGAUCGUGAUAAAUGCAGAAAAAAAUGCAAUAUUAAAAUCUCAGAAGUUCGACGUUCUGAAAUCAAUCAGCAGUUUUGGAAUUUGUCUUGGUUAGAACGGCGAACAUUUAUUUUUAAUACCUGCAAACGCUUGGCACUGAAAAGGCGACCCAAGUCUGCAGAAAGUGAGAAAAAACAAAAUACUUUUAAGUAUUAUUUCUGCGACGAAAAAUUAUUAACUGAGGCAGUUACUCAUGAAGUCUGUAAGGUAUUUUUCCUUACCACAUUAGGUUAUAAGAAAACUAAUGAUCGGGUGAUAACAGAAGUUUUAUCAAAAACAAAAAAGGAAAUCUUCAACCAAAUCGAGACCAGCGCCGGAAACGCAACAAACACAAUAAAUGUGAACACGAAGACUUACUUGAACAGCACAUUGAAUCGUUUAACCCCACAAUCUCUCAUUAUCGCCGCGAGCACGCGCCGCACAGUAGAUACUUACCCAGUGAUGUGAACAUUUCCCUAAUGUUUGACGAUUUUAAAAAGAAAUACCCCAGUUUUAAAUUGUCGUAUGAAUUGUAUCGCCGAAAAGUGAAGAACUUACGUAUAUCAUUUGCAUCUCUAGGUCACGAAGAAUGCGAAGGUUGUGAAGAAUUUCAAUUGCAUGGCCAUUUGAAGGACAAUCUACAACCUGAUUGUGAGCAAUGUGAAAUCUGGAAAAAACAUAUAGAUAAAGCCAGUGCAGCUCGAAAUCUGUAUCGACAACACGCUGAACAGACGUUUGAAGAUGGUACAGUUUGUUGCUCAGCAGACCUCCAGAAAUUUAUCUUGCUGCCACGAAUUGACUGUAUUAAAAAAGUUAUCUUUACAAAAAGAAUAGUCGCAUAUCACGAAAGUUUUGUUCCAGUUGGCAAAAAAUCAAACAAUAAGCCAUAUGCCUGCAUAUGGCAUGAGGGCAUCACCGGGAAAUAAAGAGGAUAUCGUCAGUACUUUUUAUGCAUUCUUUGUGAAAUACAGAGAUUCACCACGGAUUAUCUUAUGGCUGGACAACUGCUCCAGCAAAAAUAAAAAUUGGUGUUUUCUAGCAUUUUUGAUAUAUUUAUAUUGUGCAUUCGGAUGAAAUGGCCAUUAAUGAAAUAAACAUACACUACUUUGUCCCAGGGUCAUACAUUUAUGUCGGCUGAUAGCUUCCCCCAUCAGGUGGAAGCUGCCUUGAAGAAGCAGAAAAAGACCUAUGAUUUUAAAGAUUUUUCAGAUGCUGUUCAAAGUGCGAAUAAGUCAAAAGUAGAGGUAAAAGAAAUGCAGUACUUUAUUUGUUUUUUGUUCGGAUUUUUUUGUUUGGAAAGACUUUAAGUCACAACAAAAAAUACAAAAGGCAGAAAACAGAUUAUAUCUAGCAGACAUUGUUAAUAUAAAAGCUAUAAGGGGAAGUUAUGAAUUAAAAUGUAAAUCUGAUUUAACGAAAGAUGAUUAUAUAACAUUAGAUUUUUUAUGUAAAAAAAAUAUGAAAAAAAAAUGGAAUGCCUGCACCCUCUCCUUUAAAAGCACCAUGUGGAGUGUCAUUUGAAAAACGAGAAAGUAUUCUCAAAAAUUUAUAGAUUUUUAGAAUUUAUAGAAAUUUUUAGAUCAGCACGGUUUUAUUCCUAAAAGGUCGUGCAUCACUAACCUCUGUAAUGUGACUCAUUUUAUUUCUUCAGCCCUCGAUAGAAAAAGUCAGGUUGAUGUGGUGUAUACUGAUUUCAGUAAGGCUUUCGAUCAGAUAAAUCAUAGCAUUCUGCUGGAAAAAUUGAACAAGCAAUUAAACUUCUCAGAAAGGCUAAUUUCGUUGCUUUCGUCAUACCUUAUUGACCGUCUACAGUUUGUUGAGGUGGAAGGUUGCAGAUCUAAUACCUUUGUUUCAACUUCUGGAGUCCCACAGGGAUCCAAUCUCGGCCCACUUCUUUUUAUCUUUUAUAUUAAUGAUCUUAUAGAAUUGAUUUCCUGCCUUAGACUAGCUUAUGCUGAUAAUCUGAAAAUAUUCUGGUGUAUCAAUAGUAUCUUGGACUGCUUGUUCUUACAGAGUAACUUGGACCUAAUUAGGGGAUGGAGCAGUCGAAAUCAGUUAUGUCUUAACAUCUCGAAAUGCUGUGUAAUCUCCUUUCACCGAACCAAGGAUCCUGUUUUGUUUAAUUACAAUAUAGACAAUCAAAUCCUCUGUAGAAGUACUUCUAUUAAAGAUCUAGGGGUUGUAUUCCACGAUAGGCUCACAUUUGUGCCACAUAUUGAACAGACAGUGACCUCCUCGUUGAAACUUCUGGGUUUUAUCAUUCGAAAUAGCCGACUCUUUAACAACUCAAUAAAACAAUUGUACUUUUCCUUUGUUAGAUCAAGACUGGAAUAUGGUUCCUUGGUGUGGUGUCCUUUCUAUGAAUGCCAUAUUGGCUACAUCGAGAGUGUUCAGAGAAGGGUUUUAAAGUUUCUUAUGUUUCGUGAGGAUGGAAUAUAUCCUGUUAGGGGACAUGAUCAUGAUCUGAUGUUAGGUAGAUUUAAUCUGCAAUCUCUGGCCAUGAGGAGAACAAUUCAUUUUGUAACAUUCUUAUGGAAGUUGGUUAAUAAUCAAAUAAAUUCUCCUCCUCUCUUGAACGAUAUUCUAUUUCAUGUACCACGAUUUGCUUCUAGAGCAAUUAUCACUUUUGCCUUAGAUCGCGCGCCAGAACUAACAUUAGGUUUCAGGAUCCCGUAUAUCAAAUGUGCCGAAUUUUUAAUUCAGUAUCAUCAACCUGUGACAUAUUUGUAUGCUCCAUAAAGGAUCUAGUUUUGUCUCAGACAAACCAACAGUUACCAUAAUUCCUUUUCUCUUCCUUUUUUCCCUUGCCCCAUGAAUCCCUUUCUUUUUCAUUCUAAUGUUAAUUUACAUCUCCUUUAAUUUUGAUAUAUACAUGAUGUUUGUUUAAUUUAUAGUAAUUUAAUACUUGUUUACACUUUCAAAGCAUUAAUUGUAGAUUUUCCUGUAACUAGGCUUUGCCUGUUGGAAAUAAACUGCUAAAUAAAUAAAUAUCCAGUUGAUCCAUAACAAGGUUGAUGAGUAAACCGUACUUCUUGAACAUUAUAAUAGCCCACAUUUCUUGUGCGUACCAGAACAUUGGUUGAGAACUGAUGAACUUUUAUCUACAAAAAUACAAACAUAACAAACUAUAUCAUGUUGUCAUGUUUUCAUAGAUCAAUU